rnacentral:lncRNA from 1 species
AAAGAGAAUGUCUUAAAAAUGGAGUGAAUUGCCUUUGCAUAAUUUCCUCUUUUGAGAGCUGUAGAAAUGUGCAGAAGUCACCAGAGAUCGAGAAGAAAGGACGUCUAAAAGUCACCACAGAAGAAUAUGACCUAACUAUAGAACAUAGCCAAUAGGAGAUCAUCCUUACAGCCCCAAAGGGCAGAAAAUGAAGUUGACUUAAUCAUCCACUUGUUAGCGCACCUUACUCUAUGAACUCAAAAUGCAGUGGAGAGAAAAGGGAUGGAAGAAAUUUGUUCAUAAUGAGCAAGCUAGGAAGACUGCUGCAAGUUUCCAAAAUUUCAGAUGGACUUUGUGAAUUGAGACUCUUAGAAAACUGCCAGUUUCUAUGUUUUGAUUUUCGUGAAAAUCAGAACCAAAGAGGAAAAGGUAAGUGAUAAUAUUUUUGGUUUAAGAAAUUAAACCAAAGUGUCAUGGUGCUACUGAGGUGCAGUUUCA